rnacentral:rRNA from 1 species
UACGGAGGAUCCAAGCGUUAUCCGGAUUUAUUGGGUUUAAAGGGUGCGUAGGCGGGGAAUUAAGUCAGUGGUGAAAGUUUGCAGCUCAACUGUAAAAUUGCCAUUGAAACUGAUUUUCUUGAGUGUAAAUGAGGUAGGCGGAAUGUGUUGUGUAGCGGUGAAAUGCUUAGAUAUAACACAGAACACCGAUUGCGAAGGCAGCUUACUGGGAUACAGCUGACGCUGAUGCACGAAAGCGUGGGGAUCAAACAGG